GAUGAACGCUGGCGGCGUGCUUAACACAUGCAAGUCGAACGAAGCACUUUAUUUGAUUUCCUUCGGGACUGAUUAUUUUGUGACUGAGUGGCGGACGGGUGAGUAACGCGUGGGUAACCUGCCUUGUACAGGGGGAUAACAGUUGGAAACGGCUGCUAAUACCGCAUAAGCGCACAGCAUCGCAUGAUGCAGUGUGAAAAACUCCGGUGGUAUAAGAUGGACGCGCGUUGGUUUAGCUAGUUGGUGAGGUAACGGCCCACCAAGGCGACGAUCCAUAGCCGAGAGGGGAGGGGGACCGGCCACAAUGGGACUGAGGCACGGACCAAAAUCCUACGCGAGGGAGCAGUGGAGAAUAUUGCACAAGGGGCGAAAGCGUGAUGCAGCGACGCGGGGGGAGCGAAGAAGUAUUUCGGUAUGUAAAGCUGUAUCAGCAGGGAAGAUAAUGACGGUACCUGACUAAGAAGCACCGGCUAAAUACGUG
rnacentral:rRNA from 1 species